rnacentral:rRNA from 1 species
CCCUUAGAUGUCCGGGGCUGCACGCGCGCUACACUGAAGGAAUCAGCGUGCUAAAACCAUUGUCGAAAGGCAUUGGUAAACCCAUUAAAAUCCUACGUGAUUGGGAUCGGGAAUUGCAAUUAUUUCCCUUGAACGAGGAAUUCCCAGUAAGUGUGGGUCAUAAGCUCGCGUUGAUUACGUCCCUGCCCUUUGUACACACCGCCCGUCGCUGCCCGGGACUGAGCCGUUUCGAGAAAAGCGGGGACUGCUGCUGUCGGGGCUUGCGGGCCUUGGCUUCGGUGGAAACCGCUUUAAUCGCAGUGGCUUGAACCGGGCAAAAGUCGUAACA